AGUUGUGAUGAGUCCUAUCCACAAAAAUAAAGGGUCUGAGCUUGGAAGCUAAGCAGGGUUGGGCCUGGUUAGUACUUAGAUGGGAGACUACCUUGGAAUACCAGGUGCUGCAGGCG
rnacentral:rRNA from 1 species